AGAGUUUGAUCCUGGCUCAGGACGAACGCUGGCGGCGUGCCUAAUACAUGCAAGUCGAGCGAAUCGAUGGGAGCUUGCUCCCUGAGAUUAGCGGCGGACGGGUGAGUAACACGUGGGCAACCUGCCUAUAAGACUGGGAUAACUUCGGGAAACCGGAGCUAAUACCGGAUACGUUCUUUUCUCGCAUGAGAGAAGAUGGAAAGACGGUUUACGCUGUCACUUAUAGAUGGGCCCGCGGCGCAUUAGCUAGUUGGUGAGGUAAUGGCUCACCAAGGCGACGAUGCGUAGCCGACCUGAGAGGGUGAUCGGCCACACUGGGACUGAGACACGGCCCAGACUCCUACGGGAGGCAGCAGUAGGGAAUCUUCCGCAAUGGACGAAAGUCUGACGGAGCAACGCCGCGUGAACGAAGAAGGCCUUCGGGUCGUAAAGUUCUGUUGUUAGGGAAGAACAAGUACCAGAGUAACUGCUGGUACCUUGACGGUACCUAACC
rnacentral:rRNA from 1 species